rnacentral:rRNA from 1 species
GCAUAUCAAUAAGCGGAGGAAAAGAAAAUAACAAUGAUUCCCCUAGUAACUGCGAGUGAAGAGGGACAAGCUCAAAUUUUAAAUCUGUCGGGUUUACCUGACCGAGUUGUAAUUUGAAGAAGCGUUUUCUGCACUGUUUGAUCAGCCCAAGUCCUAUUGAAUGAGGCAUCAUGGAGGGUGAUAAUCCCGUCCGGUUGAUCAUUGUGCUCUACGAUACGCUUUCAAAGAGUCAAGUUGUUUGGGAUUGCAGCUUAAAAUGGGAGGUAAAUUUCUCCUAAGGCUAAAUAACGGCGAGAGACCGAUAGCGAACAAGUACCGUGAGGGAAAGAUGAAAAGAAUUUUGAAAAGAGAGUUAAACAGUACGUGAAAUUGUUGAAAGGGAAACGAUUGAAGCCAGUCGUACCUUCGGGUAAUCAGCUUUUUGGGUGCGAUUCUGUGAGGUGUGAGGAGUUAAACGCCUUCAUGUUUUGCAUAUUCGUGCUCUUGGGUGUACUUGCCCGUGUGGUUGGUUAACAUCAAUUUUGGACGCCAUAAAAUGACUGGAGGAAUGUAGCUUCGAUCUCGUAUUGAAGUGUUAUAGCCUUCGGUAGAUGUGGUUUUCGAGAUUGAGGAUUGCAACGGAUACCCUUCGGGGCUACCUAUCUGAUCUCUGAUCGUUGCUCUGGUGGCGAAAGCUUGCUUACGGAUAUCAAAGUCGAUGGUCAAUAGGUUAGAAUAGGUUAAAUUCGUUAAGGAUGUUGACGUA